GUGCUUGCUUCGGCAGCACAUGUACUAAAAUUGCAACGAUACAGAGACGAUUAGCAUGGCCCUGUGCAAAGAUGACAUGCAAAUUUGUGAAGCAUCACAUUAAAAA
ensembl:snRNA U6 U6 spliceosomal RNA